AAUCUAGAAAUAUGUUUAUUUAAUUUUUAAAAUUUGUUUUAAUUAUAAAAUAUUGAAAAUUUAUAAUCAGUAACAACACCCCUUUGCUUGGUUGGACUCUGUUGGAGUAUUGGCUGGGGGAUAACAAUGCUAAAUAUCUCAAAAAUCCAGGUGAAGUAUGAAGAAGAUGGAAGUUCUAUGAAAUCAAGAGCUGACUUAGAGCGGAAACCAUCAAUUCCGUUUCCGACAGCGGAUACUUUCUCUCCUGAUUAGUUUCCGACAGUGGAUACUAUCUUUCCUGAUUAGUCUCCGACAACAGAUACUUUCUCUCAUGAUUAGUUUCCGAGAGUGGUUUCUAUCUUUCCUGAUUAUCCUCCGACAGCGGAUACUUUCUCUCCUAAUUAGUUUCCGACAGCGGAUACUUUCUCUCCUGAUUAGUUUCCGAUAGUGGAUACUAUCUUUCCUGAUUAAUCUCCGACAGCGGAUACUUUCUCUCCUAAUUAGUUUCCGAGAGCGGAUACUUUUUCUUGAUUAGUUACCGACAGCUGAUACUUUCUCUCCUAAUAAGUUUCCGACAGCGGAUACUCUUUCUUGAUUAGUUCCCGACAGCGGAUACUUUUUCUUGAUUAGUUUCCGACAGCGGAUACUUUUUCUUGAUUAGUUUCCGACAGCGGAUUUUUUUUCUUGAUUAGUUAGUAUACAGGGUUACCCACAAAGGAUAAGACU